AGGUAAUGAAAGAAGAGCUCCUGGUUUUAACCCCUCAGUCAAAUAAGUUCUGCUGGGGCGGAAUCUAGCAGAUAUUUGCAAGCUGAACAGUUUUAAAGUGUGUGAGAAUUGGAGACAAGUCCUGGAAGAAGUGGAUUGGAACAGCACGGCGAUCCACAAAGCCAAGUUAGACUCCAGGCUCCCUGUACAAUGAAUGUGGAGAAACAGGCAUCUUGGAAUGCCUCCUGGAGCCAGGGAGAGGAAGAGCUCUAGCUCUGGGGCCUUGAAAUGGCCCCUCCAAUUCAGGGUUGGGCCUAUUGGCAGGCUGCGGUGGGAAAUGAGGGCUGCGCUGUUCUCAUAAAGUACCUUCUCCGAAGACAGAAGGCUUCAGGCUCUCAGUGUCACCCCAUCUCAGAACCUGCAGGGAGCUGAUGUCUACGAUGAAAACAGCAGAAGGUGCUGAGUUGACGUUGGGUGAGAGACUGUGACAGCAGCUCUGCCAAAAAGGAUAGAAAGAACACGGAAAUAAAUGUCAUAGCACAGCUAGGACAAAUGCUUUUAUGUAAGAAGGCAUGGUACCUGGUACUUGUUUGCAUAUGUACAAAAUGCAGCUAAUGGCUGAUGUAAGCUGAUGAUUAGAAAGAACUGUAUUCAGAUGUUACUGCCUGAAGCGAAUGCCAGGGUCUUUAACAUUUAAACACAGUGAUGAAAAAAUAUAUAUUUUUUAUGUUCAAAGUCUUGGCAAUUUUAGGUGCAUAUUCAGUUUUCUGGGCAUG